rnacentral:tRNA from 1 species
GGGGGGAUACUCAAGCGGUCAACGAGGGCAGACUGUAAAUCUGCUGGCUUAAUGCCUACGGCGGUUCGAGUCCGUCUCCCCCCACCA